rnacentral:lncRNA from 1 species
GUUAACAUAUUAUUAUACACGGUACUACCAGGGUCCCUAGACUCUACAAAUUACUCAAUAUUUAACAAGGGUUGUUUUUCUAGUCUGUUUUUAGAGUGGUCUAACAAUUGGAUAGUGACUUGUGCUUCAGGUAAUAAUGACAAAUAAAACUGUCAUUAAAUGUGAAAGAACAAAUUUCUAUGACAAAAGCAGGCUUCAGGAAGGGUGCUGCCCACAGCAGCCUGGGUUUCUCUGUACCACGGAAUCAGGACAACCCCCACUGACCUUCCUACAGACCAACCUGAUCUAGAAAACCCUUCAGUAAGCCUCUCUUCCUAGAUCCUAGUUUGUGUCAAGAUAAUCAUUAAGUAGGUUUUAUUUCUCUGGUAUGCCUGGGCUUAAAUAUGCUCUGUAUACACAUGUCUAUUUAUUGUUUGAAAUGCCUAUAUUAGGGUCAUUUCUUGCUUAGACAACAAAAGAAAGAAUUUCUUUCUUGGCAUGUAUUAAAAUGAAUAAGAGAAACUCAUUCUAACAUUAUGUGUUAAUUUUUUUAAAAAGGCUAAAGCAGGAAAGGAUUUAAUGAGACGAUCUCCAAAAAGCAAACAACAACAACAACUACAAAACUUACAAAAACCUAGAUACAAACACAGGUAAACUUCAGUAAGAUGAAAAACAAACAAAAAACCAACCACCACAAAACCAUACAACAGCCAAAUGUGCAAAGUAUAGGAUUUCUAAGGAGCAGUUUCCAAAAUCCAAUGACCUGAGGGAACAGAUAUGAUGCCAGGAGCUAUAAAUGAAUGCCUAAACACAAAACAAGAAGAAAAGACAGAAAACGCUUACAGUAUGUCAGGACUUUAGUUGUGUUUGAAACAGUCUCAUCCUCAAAACCACACUUAAAGCUAUUUAUAGGAGAAAAAUCUGCAUUCAUGAGUAAGAGAAAAAAUGGACAGGGAAAAUCUUCCUGGUGGUUUGAGAGGAAAGUGAAGGAUUCCAAACACCAUAAAAAUGUUUCUGUGGUAAGAAAUGUCAAUUUGCUUUUGCAGAACUUGUCUAUCCUAGUGGAUUAGAAGGGCAUUUUUGUGUACAUAUUCAUAAUUUUCCGGUAUUAGGGAUGGGUCUUGUGCUCUGGAGUGAAGUGCUCUACACAGGACGUGAAUCUGCAGAGGGAUUUACUUUCUGACGGACUUAUGUUGCACCACCCACGACUACUCUACUUUAUGAAAGCACGUGAUCUCACACAUCAUUUCCUGUUAGUAGUAAACAGUUUGUUCUAGCUAAUGAGGCGGUGUUAACUUCCAGAUUUGGUAAUGGCACUGAAUUUAAAACGACGAUGGCUGUAAAUGGGAAGAUGUACUCACAGGUUUCCGUGGAAUAUUCUAGAGGUCUUGCUGGAAACAGUUACCUUUUUCUCAAAGGGGAAAUAAAAUCCAGAAAUAAAUUAACUGUCAGACACAGAAAACAAAACAAACCCAAAACAAAACAAAAGUACAACUAUGUUUUUCUGGCUAAAAAAAAAAAAAAACGUAUUAUUUUAAAACAUCUUUACAGUAAACUUUCACUGAAAAAUAAACUCUUGAAAAAUACUUGUUUUCUUACUGAAGAUUUAAUGAGUUUCCAGCCAGAUAGGUCUUGAUUGUAAGCUAAAACUUGUUCAGCAGUUUGUUGGGCAAUUGCCUUAUAGUCCAUCUACCUGUGAAAAUUUAACAAGGAUAGUAAAAUAUAAUUUUAUAAACAAAAUAAAAAUUCCAUGUUGCAUAGCUGGUUUUGAACUCAUGAACUGAAGCCAUCCUUCUGCCCCAGGCUGUCAAGGAUUUAGUACUAUAGCUGUGCCACAUUACACUUUAAUCCUAUUUUUUACAACCUCUGUCAUUUAGCAAUACAUAAUAAUUGUCUGAUCACUUGCAUUCACAAACCUCUGUCUUCAAAUGUGCAAGCAUGUAAAAAAACAGAUUUUGAAAUCAGGGACCAGGGUGAAGUCUAAUCCCUGCCACGUGUGAAGCAUGACAUGCAAUAUUUAUACUUUCUUCUUGAUGUAAAAUUAGAAUAUACCUAACACCCUGUAGAGUCAACGUGUUAAAUAAAGCCUUCAGUGCGUUGACUAAGGUCCCAGAGCAUGGCAGGUUAUAGUUUUUCAAAAGCCAUAUUUUUAACAAGUUUUAUUUUUCCUUGUGAUGUGUCACACUCUUUCGUCAUGUGCUCCUGGUAUUAACCUUGCGUGACUGAGGCCAUGUGUGGUUUCCUCUCUAAGCAUGUUCCUGUCAGCUAUCUUCUUGUCCACUUAGGCACAAUCAUAUCAGUCUCCUGGAUUUUCCUCAAGUGCAACCAAGGCUGCCCUGUCUCAAGGCUUUGUCCUUACUGUUCGUUUCCUUGGAAAAUCCAUGAUAGAUUAUGCUUCGCUGAAUCCUUUGCUUAAAUGUCAGCCUUUCAGACAAGAUCAUAUUCAAAGCAAUUCAGUUUCAAGACAUUCACUAAAUCUUUACUUGCUGCUGAGUACUGCAAAUGACUGUUUUCCUUCCUCCACAUUCAUAGCCGGAAACUGGGUCGUGAUUAGGUCACAAGGGCAGAGACCUCAUGGAUGAGAUUGGUGACUUUAUAAGAGACUGAAGGCAGCUUAUGUGUCUCCUAUGUCCUGAGAACACAGCCGUAAAAGCAGUUUACAUUCCAGAAAAGUACCCUGACCAGAAACCAAACAUUAAGGCAUGCGGGACAGACUUAUAGCCCCCACAAGUGUGAAAAAAGAAACUCUGGCUCUUUAUAAACCACCCAGUCUAUGGCAAUAUGCAGCAGUAACCCAAGGACUGAGAACUGCAGCAAGUAUAGAAAAAAAAAAAAAGCCUGUGUCUGUAAUGAAUAAGUUCAGACAGAGGCUGGGAUAUCAUGGCUCUUCAGCCCAUCACCCACUUCUCAGUUAUGGGAAGCUGAAUAAGUGGUACAAAGACCAGGGUAACAUCUGGAUUCAAAUCUGGACUCUGACACUGCAAGUGGGUAAGCUCUGAACUUCAACUUAGGCUCUGAACUUGAACUUCCUACAUUUAUGGGAAUUUACAUGAGUAUGGGGGAGGGUGUCCAUAAAACUUACAACCGUUAUUAUAUGCAAAAAUGCUUGAAACAGUGACUGGUUUUGUUCAAGGUGGUCAAUAAGGUUAGUUUCUUAUAAUUAACUGUUAUAAACAUCACUAAAAUGUUCUUCAAAUAACUGCCCCCUAAGCACCUUAGCACUUCUUAAUGCAUAAAUAUCAUAACAUUUGGAAAUCCUUAGCUCUCUCCUAGCACUCUUCAGAUUGGGUCAUAAAUUUAUAUUCUCUUCCUGGACUUCUCAGGAAGGCACAAUAGCUAGGCGAUACCUUUUAUAUUGGGAAAAAAAAAAAACCCACAGUACAAUACUAUAGACUCCUCCUUCCUAUAAAAGUCCUGGUAGCUUUACCUUUAUCUAAUUUAGUCCAGAGUUUUAGUGCCCAUUGAUACUACUCUCCAAAUCCUGGAGGAGAUCUCCAUCUCUGUUAACCUGUAAGGGAAUAAAGUGAAAGUCGAAUUAUUUUGAUCUAUGACUUAGGUCAACAUAUUUUAUCAAUUGUUUUCCAUUCCCUCCACUAACACUUUAUAUUUUUAU